UCUGAUAUCCCGGCGUAGUGGGGAUUACGUUUCGGCCGUAAUUGGGGGUGAUAUAACAUUCUAUCAGAG
rnacentral:tRNA from 1 species